rnacentral:rRNA from 1 species
GACGAACGCUGGCGGCGUGCCUAAUACAUGCAAGUCGAACGAACUCUGGUAUUGAUUGGUGCUUGCAUCAUGAUUUACAUUUGAGUGAGUGGCGAACUGGUGAGUAACACGUGGGAAACCUGCCCAGAAGCGGGGGAUAACACCUGGAAACAGAUGCUAAUACCGCAUAACAACUUGGACCGCAUGGUCCGAGUUUGAAAGAUGGCUUCGGCUAUCACUUUUGGAUGGUCCCGCGGCGUAUUAGCUAGAUGGUGGGGUAACGGCUCACCAUGGCAAUGAUACGUAGCCGACCUGAGAGGGUAAUCGGCCACAUUGGGACUGAGACACGGCCCAAACUCCUACGGGAGGCAGCAGUAGGGAAUCUUCCACAAUGGACGAAAGUCUGAUGGAGCAACGCCGCGUGAGUGAAGAAGGGUUUCGGCUCGUAAAACUCUGUUGUUAAAGAAGAACAUAUCUGAGAGUAACUGUUCAGGUAUUGACGGUAUUUAACCAGAAAGCCACGGCUAACUACGUGCCAGCAGCCGCGGUAAUACGUAGGUGGCAAGCGUUGUCCGGAUUUAUUGGGCGUAAAGCGAGCGCAGGCGGUUUUUUAAGUCUGAUGUGAAAGCCUUCGGCUCAACCGAAGAAGUGCAUCGGAAACUGGGAAACUUGAGUGCAGAAGAGGACAGUGGAACUCCAUGUGUAGCGGUGAAAUGCGUAGAUAUAUGGAAGAACACCAGUGGCGAAGGCGGCUGUCUGGUCUGUAACUGACGCUGAGGCUCGAAAGUAUGGGUAGCAAACAGGAUUAGAUACCCUGGUAGUCCAUACCGUAAACGAUGAAUGCUAAGUGUUGGAGGGUUUCCGCCCUUCAGUGCUGCAGCUAACGCAUUAAGCAUUCCGCCUGGGGAGUACGGCCGCAAGGCUGAAACUCAAAGGAAUUGACGGGGGCCCGCGCAAGCGGUGGAGCAUGUGGUUUAAUUCGAAGCUACGCGAAGAACCUUACCAGGUCUUGACAUACUAUGCAAAUCUAAGAGAUUAGACGUUCCCUUCGGGGACAUGGAUACAGGUGGUGCAUGGUUGUCGUCAGCUCGUGUCGUGAGAUGUUGGGUUAAGUCCCGCAACGAGCGCAACCCUUAUUAUCAGUUGCCAGCAUUAAGUUGGGCACUCUGGUGAGACUGCCGGUGACAAGCCGGAGGAAGGUGGGGAUGACGUCAAAUCAUCAUGCCCCUUAUGACCUGGGCUACACACGUGCUACAAUGGAUGGUACAACGAGUUGCGAACUCGCGAGAGUAAGCUAAUCUCUUAAAGCCAUUCUCAGUUCGGAUUGUAGGCUGCAACUCGCCUACAUGAAGUCGGAAUCGCUAGUAAUCGCGGAUCAGCAUGCCGCGGUGAAUACGUUCCCGGGCCUUGUACACACCGCCCGUCACACCAUGAGAGUUUGUAACACCCAAAGUCGGUGGGGUAACCUCUUUUAGGAACCAGCCGCCUAAGGUGGGACAGAUGAUUAGGGUGAAG